GUACACUCCUACGGGAGGCAGCAGUGGGGAAUAUUGCACAAUGGGCGCAAGCCUGAUGCAGCCAUGCCGCGUGUAUGAAGAAGGCCUUCGGGUUGUAAAGUACUUUCAGCGGGGAGGAAGGCAAUACGGUUAAUAACCGUGUUGAUUGACGUUACCCGCAGAAGAGGCACCGGCUAACUCCGUGCCAGCAGCCGCGGUAAUACGGAGGGUGCAAGCGUUAAUCGGAAUUACUGGGCGUAAAGCGCACGCAGGCGGUCUGUCAAGUCGGAUGUGAAAUCCCCGGGCUCAACCUGGGAACUGCAUUCGAAACUGGCAGGCUUGAGUCUUGUAGAGGGGGGUAGAAUUCCAGGUGUAGCGGUGAAAUGCGUAGAGAUCUGGAGGAAUACCGGUGGCGAAGGCGGCCCCCUGGACAAAGACUGACGCUCAGGUGCGAAAGCGUGGGGAGCAAACAGGAUUAGAUACCCCAGUAGUCCCAUGA
rnacentral:rRNA from 1 species